UUCAAUGGUCGGGCCUUGGCGGGGGUGCGUUCGCGCACGCCGGUCUCCUUUGCGCCGGUCUCUCAACCCUGCCUCGUGCCCGGCCACCCCG
rnacentral:antisense_RNA from 1 species